rnacentral:rRNA from 1 species
AUGGCAAAGUUAAUGGUCCAAAUGGUGGCACAUCUUGGCUUCCUGGUGUCCCCCACCACCACCACCGGGUUUUUCUGGAAGAAGGAGGUGAGGAUCUACUCCCGGGCUGCCACCCUUGAUUUCAUUGAUGUUUCUGUUGAAGAGGACAAUGGGGAUGUGUGGAGGUUAACUGGGAUUUAUGGCGAACCAAGCUGGGAUAACAAGACUCGCAUGUACCAGUUACUACGAGAUCUUCACACCCAAUCCAGGUUGCCAUGGGUUGUGAUCGGUGAUUUUAAUGAGAUCCUUCUCUCCUCAGAGAAGGACGGAGAAGACUUGGGGUAUGAGGAUGAUGUUUUCACGUGGUUCCGUGGGGGACUGCGGGAAUGGCUAGACCGUGCAGUGUCAAAUGCAGAAUGGAUGAGGCUACAUCCGUGGGCAGGCCUAUGCAACUUGGAGCGAGAACAUACACCAUCCUAUGGAAGAAAAUUUGAGGCAAGGUGGCUAGCUGAGGAGACUGUGGAGGAGAUUGUAAAAAAGCGUGGCAAAAGGCUGCCGCUCGUAACAUUGGACCGGGCGUGGGCGCUAAACUUUCUGCGGUGCACCAGGAUAUGCACACCUGGGACCGAAGGGUGUUGA